rnacentral:rRNA from 1 species
GUCUUUUUGAAGAUAAUUUAAAGUCAAGCCUGCCCAGUGAUUAAUUUAACGGCCGCGGUAUUUUGACCGUGCUAAGGUAGCAUAAUCAUUAGUUUUUUAAUUGAAAGCUUGUAUGAAUGGUUAGAUGAGAAAGAUUCUGUCUCUAAAUUAUUUUAAUUGAAUUUUAUUUUUAAGUAAAAAAGCUUAAAUUAUUUUAAAAGACGAGAAGACCCUAUAGAGUUUUAUAUAAUUAAAAAUUUUAAGGUUUGGGAUAUUUUUAUUAAUAUUUGAAGUUAUAUUUGGUUGGGGUGAUAAUAAAAUUUAAUAAACUUUUAUUUAAUAAGAACAUAAAUUUAUGAGCAUUUGAUCCAUUAUUUUUGAUUAGAAGAAAAAAUUACCUUAGGGAUAACAGCGUAAUUUUUUUUAAGAGCUCAAAUCGAUAAAAAAGAUUGCGACCUCGAUGUUGGAUUAAAAUUUAUUUUUGGUGUAGAAGCUAAAAUUUUGGGUCUGUUCGACCUUUAAAAUUUUACAUGA